GGUUGGAAGACCAAAUUAGGGCUUACCCAUUUUAAUAAGCUCCCAACAAUCAAUUCAUUUUCGUCUUUCCUGCUAUUUGUAUUCUUGGAGGCUCUUUUACAUGGAGGAUUCAUAUUCUUCAUCACCAGCAUGGAGGAAAAUAGCGCAUUUGGAUGGGCGAGUGAGCGCACUGCCAUCCAUGAAGCAUGCUGUUGUCUAAACUACGACACUCCACAUAUUCACUUUCCAAGGUCCUCAUGACUCCAGAGUUUCAAUUCUGCAAUUGCUUUUAAUAUUUUGUUUCUAUAAUUCCAAACUUCCCAUAUUCAACUCAGUAUUUUCGUCUAAGCAAUGAACAUAGGUUUAAUUGGGCAAAAACACAGUUAAGAAAAGUUUAAAGAUGUUUCUUGUCAUUUGAUAUAAAUAGCAAGAUUUCCCUAAUUUACUUA